GAUGAACGCUGGCGGCGUGCCUAACACAUGCAAGUCGAACGAAGCACUGUUAACGGAGAUUCGUCGAAGUUAACAUUGACUUAGUGGCGGACGGGUGAGUAAUGUAUGAGCAACCUGCCUUUCAGAGGGGGACAACAGUUGGAAACGACUGCUAAUACCGCAUAAUGUAUCGAGGGGGCAUCCUCUUGAUACCAAAGGAGCAAUCCGCUGAAAGAUGGGCUCAUAUCUGAUUAGUUAGUUGGUGAGGUAACGGCUCACCAAGACUGCGAUCAGUAGCCGGACUGAGAGGUUGAACGGCCACAUUGGGACUGAGAUACGGCCCAGACUCCUACGGGAGGCAGCAGUGGGGAAUAUUGGGCAAUGGGCGAAAGCCUGACCCAGCAACGCCGCGUGAAGGAAGAAGGUCUUCGGAUUGUAAACUCUUUUAUGAGGGACGAAAACAAUGACGGUACCUCAUGAAUAAGCCACGGCUAACUACGU
rnacentral:rRNA from 1 species